ACCCGGGUAGAUCAGUUGGUAGAGCAUGAGACUCCUAAUCUCAGGAUUGUGGGUUCAAGCCCCACGUGGGGCG